UUGUGAGGUUAAGCGACUAAGCGUACACGGUGGAUGCCCUGGCAGUCAGAGGCGAUGAAGGACGUGCUAAUCUGCGAUAAGCGCCGGUAAGGUGAUAUGAACCGUUAUAACCGGCGAUUUCCGAAUGGGGAAACCCAGUGUGAUUCGUCACACUAUCAUUAACUGAAUCCAUAGGUUAAUGAGGCGAACCGGGGGAACUGAAACAUCUAAGUACCCCGAGGAAAAGAAAUCAACCGAGAUUCCCCCAGUAGCGGCGAGCGAACGGGGAGGAGCCCAGAGCCUGAAUCAGCAUGUGUGUUAGUGGAAGCGUCUGGAAAGGCGCGCGAUACAGGGUGACAGCCCCGUACACAAAAGCGCAUGUGCUGUGAGCUCGAUGAGUAGGGCGGGACACGUGGUAUCCUGUCUGAAUAUGGGGGGACCAUCCUCCAAGGCUAAAUACUCCUGACUGACCGAUAGUGAACCAGUACCGUGAGGGAAAGGCGAAAAGAACCCCGGCGAGGGGAGUGAAAAAGAACCUGAAACCGUGUACGUACAAGCAGUGGGAGCACAGGUUUACCUGUGUGACUGCGUACCUUUUGUAUAAUGGGUCAGCGACUUAU
rnacentral:rRNA from 1 species